UUUUUAGGGACUUUUCGUUUUGAAUUUUCCAUGUAGUCCGCUAUAUGUCAUAUAAUUUUUUCUAUUUACUUUAUUAAUUGAGAGAUGGGAAAAACUUUAUUGAGAGACGGUAAACUAAUUUCAACAAUAAAAUGUUAAAUUGUAGUGCAAAAAAAUAUAUCGAUUGCUUCAAAAUUUCACGCUUUGCUCGAUAAAAAAUUCUGACUCAGAAACCAGAGCACAACCCCCACC
rnacentral:lncRNA from 1 species